rnacentral:lncRNA from 1 species
AUUAAUCAGGCAGUUCUUUUGUGAAACCGAAUUCUUCUAUUGAAUCUUUGCAAACAUAUCAAGCUGAUACGCCCAACAAAGAAGUUCUAGCUCCCUGCUUGUGCAUCCAUGAAUCUGGCAGGUUAGAAGGUCGAAGCCGAUCCAUGAAUCUGCAUCCAUGAAUCACACAGACCAGAAAAGUACAACCAAUACUUAUACUGUGGGUGUGGGAACAAACAGGUGAUAACAAAGUUGCUAACAGAAAGAGGAAAGAAUACUCGAAUAGCA